ACGAACGCUGGCGGCGUGCUUAACACAUGCAAGUCGCACGGAAAGGCCCUGCUUUUGUGGGGUGCUCGCGUGGCGAACGGGUGAGUAACACGUGAGUAACCUGCCCUUGACUUUGGGAUAACUUCAGGAAACUGGGGCUAAUGCCGGAUAGGAGCUCCUGCUGCAUGGUGGGGGUUGGAAAGUUUCGGCGGUUGGGGAUGGACUCGCGGCUUAUCAGCUUGUUGGUGGGGUAGUGGCUUACCAAGGCUUUGACGGGUAGCCGGCCUGAGAGGGUGACCGGCCACAUUGGGACUGAGAUACGGCCCAGACUCCUACGGGAGGCAGCAGUGGGGAAUAUUGCACAAUGGGCGGAAGCCUGAUGCAGCAACGCCGCGUGCGGGAUGACGGCCUUCGGGUUGUAAACCGCUUUCGCCUGUGACGAAGCGUGAGUGACGGUAAUGGGGAAAGAAGCACCGGCUAACUACGU
rnacentral:rRNA from 1 species